rnacentral:lncRNA from 1 species
CCCAUGAACCCUCAUCACCCAAAUUUUCUAAGAACGCUAUGAUAAAAAUACUAGCAUCCGUGUUUGCAGCGAAACCACAUAAAAAGAAAAUUAACUCCACUUGGCCAUGACAAGUGGACUUAAUCUAAUACUGAGCACGCUAAGCAUUAUUCAUGUUUAAAAUGAUCAGAGCUAUCUCAAAUAUUGCAGUUUACUUUGGCUCUCCCUCA